rnacentral:rRNA from 1 species
UUGGAGGGCAAGUCUGGUGCCAGCAGCCGCGGUAAUUCCAGCUCCAAUAGCGUAUAUUAAAGUUGUUGCAGUUAAAAAGCUCGUAGUUGAAUUUCGGGAUCAGAUUGUCGGUCGUGCCUCGGUACGCACUGGUAUUAUUGGUUCCUACCUUCUGAAGAACCGCGAUGUCAUUAAUUUGGUGUCGUGGGGAAUCAGGACUGUUACUUUGAAAAAAUUAGAGUGUUUAAAGCAGGCUUACGCUUGAAUACAUUAGCAUGGAAUAAUGAAAUAGGACGUUUGAUUCUAUUUUGUUGGUUUCUAGGAUUGACGUAAUGAUUAAUAGGGAUAGUUGGGGGCAUUAGUAUUCAAUUGUCAGAGGUGAAAUUCUUGGAUUUAUUGAAGACUAACUACUGCGAAAGCAUUUGCCAAGGAUGUUUUCAUUAAUCAAGAACGAAAGUUAGGGGAUCGAAGACGAUCAGAUACCGUCGUAGUCUUAACCAUAAACUAUGCCGACUAGGGAUCGGAUGAUGUUAAUUUUUUAAUGACUCAUUCGGCGCCUUACGGGAAACCAAAGUGUUUGGGUUC